rnacentral:tRNA from 1 species
GCCAGCAUGGUGUAGUGGUUUGAGUGUUGGAUUGCGACUCUGGAGACCUGGGUUUGAUUCCCCAGUCUGCCA